rnacentral:rRNA from 1 species
ACGUACACUCCUGCGGGAGGCAGCAGUGGGGAAUAUUGCACAAUGGGCGCAAGCCUGAUGCAGCCAUGCCGCGUGUAUGAAGAAGGCCUUCGGGUUGUAAAGUACUUUCAGCGGGGAGGAAGGCAAUACGGUUAAUAACCGUGUUGAUUGACGUUACCCGCAGAAGAAGCACCGGCUAACUCCGUGCCAGCAGCCGCGGUAAUACGGAGGGUGCAAGCGUUAAUCGGAAUUACUGGGCGUAAAGCGCACGCAGGCGGUCUGUCAAGUCGGAUGUGAAAUCCCCGGGCUCAACCUGGGAACUGCAUCCGAAACUGGCAGGCUUGAGUCUUGUAGAGGGGGGUAGAAUUCCAGGUGUAGCGGUGAAAUGCGUAGAGAUCUGGAGGAAUACCGGUGGCGAAGGCGGCCCCCUGGACAAAGACUGACGCUCAGGUGCGAAAGCGUGGGGAGCAAACAGGAUUAGAUACCCUUGUAGUCCCA